rnacentral:snRNA from 1 species
UAAUCUCAUUUUUGAACUUGGAGUAUGGUGCUGGAGCUUGCUCCACCCUGCUCACGGGUUGUCCUGGUAUUGCAGUACCUCCAGGUUCGGCUCACGUUUC